GACCGUGGAGGCCGGGUGCAGCCCCGUCGGCUCCGUGCUCUCCGCAGAAAAGGAUUUUCUAUGCCCCCCGCCCAUCACUUGGAUCUUGUCUGGGGAGGGAGGGGUGGGAUCUUUCUCUAGAAGUCCCCCCCCCACCCGCGGUGAAGGAUUUGAGGCUGGGCUCCAAUCGAGGCGGAGGCUGCAGGGCCCGCGGGCGCCCCCCGCCCCGCGCACGCCUCCCGGGAGCCCAGGAAGGCGCAGCCCCGGGGGGCCCCCCUGCGUCCCCGGAGGAGGCAGCGGCGUAUUCCUCGGGGUCCCUGGGCCAGCUGGGAAGACGGCAUCUCGGAGGUCCUCCAGCAACUAAAAGAAGAGAAAGACAUUCCCCUCAAAGUUCUCCCUGUACACACGUCCCCCCUUGCACUCACACAGGGCUCAUGACUGGUUCCUGCCCCAGCCACAGCCACGAAAAAGAAAAAGGCACCAUCAUAGACACUGGUUGCUAAUCGCGCUUUUUUGCCCUCCAGGGGCAGAGUGUUGGAGGUCAGGCCCGGGAAACGGCCGCUGUGGGGACUGUGCGCCGCCUUUAGGUGGGGGGAGGGGGGUGGAAAUGGGGGGAAAGGUAGAAAAGGAGCAAGUGUUACCAGUUUGACCAGGCGAGUGAGGCAACUCUCACCGUUCAGCCUGGUCCUUCCAGCCGGGCCUCUGGGAUCUUCACCUUGGCAAGGGGCCCUGGCCGGCCCUGGCGUUCUCCCCAUCCCAAUCCCUGAGCCAGGCCACGUUCCCAUUUUCUGCCUCAGUUUCCCUAUCUGCCACAGGAGGGGCCACCCUCCAGGCUCUGGCCUCGAAACGUUGGCGGUUGCCACCCACUGCUGUAGUGAGUUCGGGCUGUAUGAGCCCCGAAGGUGCUUUGAAAAUGGGGAUGUUAAAGCAUUCACCCGGGAAGGUGUUAUGGUAUUUCCUAACACAUGCCUUAUAGGCUGAGGUGACUCGGGGAGGGGAGAGCGCAGCCCCAUAGCGCGCACGUUUCUGGAAUCAGCCUGCUUGCGUCUGGGACUCCCGCUGUGUUACCCCAGGCAAAUGGCUCAACCUCUCUGAGCAGCCGUAUCCUUCCAUGUGAAACCCACACGUUAGAAUAGCCGCCUCCCAGGUCCGAUGCGCAGACCUACCCAGCGACUGGAAGUGGCACCCGGUUCCAAGUGCCGUUUACUCUCCUCGGUAUUUCCCUGUAUGGCGAGUUUCUGUUUGCAGCAAGCACUUGUUUUCAGUUGAGCGUAAGGGACAGAAGGACCCCUUUUCUGUACCAGCUUACGUAAGUGAAAGAGAGUACGUUGCUUGGAAGAAAAAUACUAAGCAAAGUACAGUAGAGGUGGCCUAAAGAUGGGGCAGAAGUUGAGAAGGUCGAGUUUCCUAGGCCCCCUUAAUUACACAUUCGUGUAUGUCUCACUGAUUUUUGGCACCCACAGAGCUGGAUUGCUAAGUCAAAUAUGUGGCGGCCUCCGCCCAUGGCAGCCUGGGUGUCACAGGUCCUCCCUUCUCAAAGCUGCCCCCCCCCCCCCGCCGAACACCCACACCAAUGACAUCUCCACCCCUACAUCACGCCCCCCCGUCCACCCACCGUAACUCAGAUCCAUCUCCCCAGAUCCGUUUCCCGUCAUAGGAUCGUCAGGACCCAGAGCCCUUCCUCCUCCCCAGGACACCUCUCCAGGCCUCGGUUUCUCAGUGGGUCGGGGAGAAGAAUAAACCGUGUCCCAGAUCAAGAAAGUCACAGGGCUCCAUCUGGCAGCUCCUGUGGUUCACAAAUGACACCAGUGGCCCUGGGACAGGCAGGGGCCAUAGCAGUGCCCUCAGCCCAGAGGGACACUCCUUCGACAGGCCACCCCGCACCAGGCCCGGGCACCAGCUCCCUGCCCAUCCUCCUGGGACGGUGGCUUUACAGGGAAACAGCAAGAGCUCGGUCGCAGCCAGCAGGGGCGGACUCUGGUUUCACUUUCUGCUGUGUCAUGGGGUGGGGGGUGGCAUCGGGGCCCAGCUGGCCAGCUGGGGCAGGCACCGAGAGCCUGGCGGACAGCUGCCGGCCCAGCUGCCUGAGCACAACCCAUGCCCCCGCACCGCACCGGCCAGGAUGGGGGCUGGGGGCCUUUUCCAUGCCUCUCUCCCACUCAGUGGGGAGAACCCCAGGUGGGAAAAGCCAGAAGCGAAUGAGAUGGUUUCUUUAGCUACAGGAUCUUCCGGAACAAAUUCUUAAGCCAUAUGGUCCUGAAGUUCUGAGAAUUGCAACUAUUGAUUCCAGAUCAGAAUGUCCGGCUAGACGCUUCCUGCCACCCUUCAUGAGCACUGGACUGUGGAGGGCCUGCUGUGUGCAGAGCACCAGGCCAGGGGCUCAGAGCCCAGCCGGGAGCAAGACAGCCCCUGCCCUCACGGGGCUCCACCUUGAAUCAGAAGACAGACGAAAGAGAAGGCAAAGAAAGAACCCCACAUUAGGAAAUUUCACACCCUAGGCUUGGUGUUAGCGUCUUGGCGAAGGGGCGUGCAUCUCUGCCUGUGCGUGUGUGCGCCCACGGGCAUGUCAGUCACUUGCUGACUCCUGGGACACACAGGUGGGUUAAGAACACAGACGAGGGGCCAGAUGUCCCGGAUUGAAUCCGGACAUCUUUGAAUCCAGAUUCUUCCAUUGACUGGUAUGUGACCUCGGGCAAGCUCUCUCUCCUCUCUGGGCUCUGCUGCCCCGUCCAGAGGUGCUAGAAUAAUAGAACCCACAUGGCAGGGCUGCGGUGAGGAGGUCAUAAACGCACGUCCCUAAAGAACUAAGGACACUGCCUGCCAUUGAUCAUGAGCUGCGUAAGGCAUAACCGUUAUCUAAGAGUAACAAACGGGGACUGUUGUCGUAGGCACUCGACAUACCUCAUGUACCUUUACAGCCGUAAGCAACCCUUCGAUGGGCCUUAACGGGUCCUUGUUCAGACGAGAAAACCGAGGUGCAGGGAGGCUCCCAGCUGGCAGGGUCUGACCCCAGGUUGUGAGCCUGGUCCUGGCUUUAGUGACCUGAUGUCAUCACCUGAACAUUUUUAGUAAUUUUGGCACAAGGGACCCAGGUUUUCAUUUUGCAAACUAGGGAGCCAGCCCUGCCCAGAUCUGAUUUAUGCCCCCAAAGCAGUCACUCUGAGCGCCUACCAUCCACAGAACCUACAGCCGGGUGCAGUGAUUUUCCAAUACAUCAGUGCAGGGUUCGGUAUGGGAUGGAAAUCCUGGGGACAACAGGAAGAUCAAUUCCAGGGCUGAACUGCUCUGAGACUUCUUGGUUUAUUUGUUGCCCCUCUGAGAAGUCAAGGGAGCAACAGCUAAGGCCAGCCACUGUCAUUCGUUCACGGGUGUAUUCCUAGGACCCAUCGCAUAUUAGCUGUUCAGUUAAUGUCUGUGAAGUGAAGCAAAUGAAUGGGGAGGCUGCUGUCCAUGCUGAUCCAAACCGAUUUAUCCCUGGCCGCACCCCCCCCCCCCCCGCCCCGACCUGCCAACACUCUGCAGCAGGGUGCUGUUGGAACAGCUUCUGCUGGGGAGCUCAGAGACAGCAUGGAUAUUUAGAGACAUAUGGGCCCAGAUUCCCUAGCACCUGUUAUUGGAGAAGAUGCAGACAGAGUUCAGUUAAAAAAAAAAAAUACUCAGGUUUUAGUUCUGGACAGGUGCAAAUUCCAGCCAGGGGUCAAGGGGGGCAAUGUCCUGGGCUACUAAAUGAGAAUCUUCCUCUGAAAUUAGAGGCCUUUCAUACUCUCACAGCUCCAAAUUAUAAAUACUAGUGAGAAGCAGAGAAUCAUCUCAAAAGCCUUUAAGAUAUUUCAUACAAUAAUAAACAUUUGUGUGUUUUCACAGGCAUGAUCUCCACUGCCUCUGAUAACCCCAUAAAGUCCUUUUCUAAAUAACACAACCAUUAGCAUAUACUGAGUGCUUUAUAUGUACUAGGCACUUAACGUGCAUGAAGUCAUUGCCCAAGCAACAUAAAAGGGAGACAUUGUUAGUGCCUUUCAGCUUGCUGAUGAGGAAGCACUUAGAGAAACUGACCUGUCCAAGGUCACACAGCUCUCCUGUGAUAAGCUGGGGAUCAAUCCUGGAUCUUGGAUCUCAGGGACCAGCAGACUUUCCCUCUAAAGGGCCAGAUACUAAAUAUUCUCAGCUUUGCAGGCCAUAUGGUGUGUGUCACAGCUACUCUACUCUGCCAUUAUAACAACAACAACAAAAAGAUCCAGACAGCACAGAAAUGAACGGAUGUGGCUGUGUGUUCCAAUAAAACUUCAUUUACAAAAACAAGACAUGGGCCGAAUUGGGCCCACAGGCUGUAAUUGGCCCAACCCUGUUCCAGGCUGAAAAACUUGCCUCUGGUUUGGCCCUGGCAAUGUUCUUUCCUGUCCUCUCUCUCCUCCCUGUGAAGUGACUAAGCUAUUUUAGGUGAGAGACCCCUAGCUCUGGAGACAUUGAAUUGGCCUCUCUAUUCUUGAGGAAAUUAUGAAGCUCUUGGAAUUUAUAACUAUUAGGAAUUAUUAGUGACUGCCAGAGUAGGACACCAUGGGGAUCUGAGACUUGUAAUUUUAAUAGCCGUGACUGAGUAACUUUUAAAGAGGAAAGGGUUAUAGUUUAGAAAGAUACCUCAGUGGGACACCUUGGCUGUGGAAGGAACGUCUCUUCAGAGAAGGCAGUUCUCUGAAGUCUGUGAGAAUGGAAAUAGAAUGAAAAACCUCUUAAGGCAUAAGAAGAUAACUGAAAGGCAGGAUAGUGGUUGUGUGUGUGUGUGUGUGCACGCGCGCACAUGUGCGCAGAGAGAGGGUAUGGGCGAGGGGGCAUUUCCCAAAAGGCUAUAUAAUUGCACAAUGAAAAUAUGGGGCCCUUUGUUCAAAAAGUAUUCAGAAGUUCAAGAUGGCAACGGCAGAGCAUUAAACCAAACGCAGGCCCUGUGCAACCGUACAUGUCACCUGCCCACGAGGCCCUCAGAAGGGUGCCCCAGCAGAACUAAUUCAUUAGACACAGGAAUGUAAGCCUUGGUGCCUAGGAGAGAUGUAAGCAUUCCUCACCCCCAAUCCCUGGAAGAUUUCCAAGAGAAGUUGGGUCUCCCCUGUGGGAGACCGUGGCACAAGGGACAGAGUUCAAGCCCAUUCCAUUUGAAUCUCCAAAGAUAAGAUGACCCCGGCUGACAUGUGGGUUAUAAGUUCUUAAAAAAAAAAAAAAAUUGGCUAUUUGCCUUAAGCCUUCCUCCCUGAGAGCCUGGAGUUGUUUUACUUGGCCGCACCAUUUUGUCCCGGACUCUGAGUGUCCUCUGAUCUCAAGGCAGAUGACGGGGCUGUGGUCUUCAGAACAGAGGCCCACUGGUCAGCAAACCAUCCAGCGGCAGGACUGCUGGGAUGCGUUUGUAAGGCAGGUGGUCAUGGCACACACUGGCAGCCCAUUGUGGCACCCAGUCCCUCUCGGCUCAGACAGAAUUCCAUUAGCCUUCUCAAGGACAGCCUCUACCAACCGAAGGAACCUUAUUUCCUGUGCUAAUCGAGUCUCAUCUCAAGAAUGUCUACUUUUUACUCAAGACACAAGAGAUUCAGAGCCCCCAGAGGGUGGGUGAUGCCCAGCGAUGCACUUCUAUUAAUAGAGCCUUGUCGUGGAGGGGUAUAUACAACACAACCGGGGAAGGGGUCCACAGAGGACACAGGGACUCCUUGAGGAAAGACCAGAUGAGAACUGGUACCUCCUCCUGUUGUCUGCGGCAAGUUCAGUGAGUGAAGAGAUGUUCGUUCACCGCUCAGUUGCUCCCCUACGCCACAGAAGGGGCAUGAACGGAGCAGAGGCAGCACAGCCCUCCACAAGAUAGGCGCAGUUCCCACCCUUAGCAGAAGCAGCAAUCGUCAGCCAAAGAUGAGAAAAAAAAAAAUUUUUUUUUUUUUAAAUUUGCUCCCAACAACCUAAUGACAGGAGCCAGAAAAGAACUACAACCGGUCUGAGUAAAUCCUGCGGGCAGCUUGGGGUUUGGGAGACGGUACAGCGGGAUCUUAAAGCGUCAGACUCGAGAUCGAGAUAAUUCUCUGCCAAGUAAAUGUAGAAGCACAGCCAGAAGAUGACUCUGGAGGUGUUAGAUGGCUCUGGGUUUUUUGUUAUUUGUGGGGUUUUCUUGCAAGCACCUGCUCUCCAUUCCCCCCCACCCCCACUUCCGCUAAAACACCUGACACUGGCGGGAACACAGCCAAAGCUGGCCGCUCGCCACACCCAUCCUUCCACCACGUGGUCCAAACAUGGACACGUGACAAACAGGACCAGGCACAGAAGCCCACUUCCAGGCCGGACCACAGUAAUUGGUCCAAGUGUGGUCAUGUGACCCAAGCACGGCCAAUCGGGGCUUGUCCCUCCUGGAGCGGGCGGGAAGUGUGCUUUAGCUCGGCUCUCUAGCAUCUGGAGGUACCCGUGGCCCCAGAGACUGAGGUCCACAAGCCGAGAGGGAGAGGCGGGAGAUGGGAUCGGGGUGAGGAGGAUGGAGAGAGGCUGGCGCCAAGUUCUGACCCCAUAGCCUUACAGGUGCCGGAUGCAGGAGCUGCUCAGCCCUCCCUGCCCAUCACAGCUACCGGAGUGAUGAUUCUGCCAUAUUCCCUCAGUCAGAUGGACCCUGGUUUCUGUGCGGCGCAGCAAACCCCAGUUUAGGACGGGGACCGUGUCCUCUUCGUGAGCUCUGUGAAACUAAAAGGAUUUCAGAUAAACCUGCCAGUAAUUUUAGCGAGUGAGCCAUGGAGCCCAUAAAGGCCAGAAGAUAGAAAACACUCCGGGUUUGAUAAAAGGAGUUCUGCACGGCUCGGAAUCCUCCCUCCUCUAGUCCCACCGAGAUCUGUCCUGAGAGGGUCUGAUGGAUGGAGGAAAAAGAAAUGAGACGACGUGAGUCUCCUUUCAAGGGCUGUGCUCAUAUAAAACUGAACAAUUUGAAAUUGUUCCAAGAGGGGAUUAAAGCAACAUGUUAUUUUGA